rnacentral:rRNA from 1 species
UACGAGGGGUGCAAGCGUUAUUCGGAAUAACUGGGCGUAAAGGGUGUGUAGACGGCAUAUUAAGCUUGUUGUUAAAUCCUCCGGCCUAACUGGAGAUAUGCGGCGAGAACUGGUGUGCUUGAGGGUGGAAGAGAGAAGUGGAAUUUCCGGAGUAGCGGUAAAAUGCGUAGAUCUCGGAAGGAACACCAAUGGCGAAAGCAGCUUCUUGGUCCACUCCUGACGUUGAGACACGAAAGCGUGGGGAGCAAACAGG